rnacentral:tRNA from 1 species
UAGCUCAGGUGGUUAGAGCGCACCCCUGAUAAGGGUUAGAUCGUUGGUUCAAGUCCACU